rnacentral:rRNA from 1 species
GAUGAAUGCUGGCGGCGUGCUUAACACAUGCAAGUCGAGCGGCAGCGCGAGUAGUUUACUACUUGGCGGCGAGCGGCGGACGGCUGAGUAACGCGUAGGAACGUGCCCCAAAGUGAGGAAUAACUGCCCGAAAGGGUGGCUAAUGCCGCAUAUGAUCUUCGGAUUAAAGGAUUUAUCCGCUUUGGGAGCGGCCUGCGUAUGAUUAGGUAGUUGGUGAGGUAAUGGCUCACCAAGCCGACGAUCAUUAGCUGGUCUGAGAGGAUGACCAGCCAGACUGGAACUGAGACACGGUCCAGACUCCUACGGGAGGCAGCAGUGAGGAAUCUUCCACAAUGGGCGAAAGCCUGAUGGAGCAACGCCGCGUGCAGGAUGAAGGCCUUCGGGUUGUAAACUGCUUUUAUAAGUGAAGAAUAUGACGGUAACUUAUGAAUAAGCACCGGCUAACCACGUGCCAGCAGCCGCCGUAA